UUCCACACUUCUGUUGUCCACAUGCUUGGUUGGUAAUGCGUGGUUUUUAUAACCAUGCAGGGACUGCCUUUCUCUUUAAUGACACUUAAAUAUUCUGAUUUGGUUGGAUCCUUUCUUAUUGUUUUUGGUCUGUCUGGUGACUCUUAUCAGCUUACCUAUGGGUAGUGGCAGUAAUGUCAUUUGUAUUUCUUAGAUAUGAUUAAUAUGUACAUAGAGAUUAGAAUUUCAAUGGGGUUACUGUGAUACAUAUUUAAAAGAUUUUUCUUACAAGUAGAAAUGACCUCCCAAGAGAUACGAGAAGCAUUCUGACCAUGAUGUCACUUGUUCUUCCAAUAGUUCCUUUAUUUACUCUGGUUUGGCCCUGCUGAUUGGAAGAUGCAGAUUCUAACUUUCUUACUAUGUUUGCUUGGAGGUAAUGUUGGGUGUAGGUAUGUACAUCAAGCCAAUCAUCUUAUCAUGUAGGAUUCAAUGCUGGAAAUAUAAUUGUUGUUAGCCUUGUAUUCUUCAGCCCCAAUGGAGUAGCUCCAUCUGUUUCUAAAUUUCUGAGAGGGCUAGCCUCCUUCGUUUUUUUUCUUUGAAGGAUGUUACUUUGGUUGGUUUGGUUUUAGAGGUUGGGUGAUGGGUAGUUGUGGUGGUAUGUCUAUGGUUGCAUGCUGUUGGGAUGGCUUUUGCAGGUAGGCCUAUGUUUUAGCAUGGUGUACAGGUCUUUUACGCAUCUAGCGGGUGAGUAGACUAGUGGUUGUUUUCUUCACAUCUAGGAUCAAUUGAAGCA